rnacentral:rRNA from 1 species
UACGAAGGGGGCGAGCGUUGUUCGGAAUUACUGGGCGUAAAGCGCGCGUAGGCGGCUUUGUAAGUUAGAGGUGAAAGCCCGGGGCUCAACCCCGGAACUGCCUUUAAAACUGCAUCGCUUGAAUCCGGGAGAGGUGAGUGGAAUUCCGAGUGUAGAGGUGAAAUUCGUAGAUAUUCGGAAGAACACCAGUGGCGAAGGCGGCUCACUGGACCGGCAUUGACGCUGAGGUGCGAAAGCGUGGGGAGCAAACAGG